rnacentral:rRNA from 1 species
UACAGAGGUCCCAAGCGUUACUGAGAAUCACUGGGUUUAAAGGGUGCGUAGGUGGUCCGUUAAGUCAGUUGUGAAAUCCCCGGGCUCAACUCGGGAACUGCUUCUGAUACUGGCGGGCUUGAGGCCGGUAGGGGUCACUAGAACUGACGGUGGAGCGGUGAAAUGCGUAGAUAUCGGCAGGAAUGCCAGUGGUGAAGACGGGUGACUGGGCUGGUUCUGACACUGAGGCACGAAAGCGUGGGGAGCGAACGGG